ACUCCGCCCUUGUUCCUCAGUUGACCGAUUUAUUUCAAGAUCCCAAAGCGGUUUUUAGGUCCGGGUGGAGGGUCACAGCAGGCGCUCCUACACGUGUUAACACUCGGUAAACUCGACCUGAGAGGAUCAUAUUCACCCACAAAGUUAUCUGUAACUCCAAAUUAUUUCAACAGCACAGGCUUUAGGCGUAAGUUCGACUUCUCCAGUAACUUCAACCCUGGGAGGAAAUGAAUUUAUGGAUCCGAGAGUGCCGCUCAAACUGCAAGUUGUAGAGUCUUCACUACUUGCUUAUUAACUGUUCAGAUCAAUGGACUGGAGAUUUGAAACAUAGCGUUUGAGUUGAACUUCUCCUUUAAGCUGAAAACAUGAAGUUGUAGGCCUAUAAAGCGUUGACUGUUCACCCAUGAAACAGAGCGAAUUUCAGCCUCUCAGCUUAGUUUGAAGUGCUUUAACCAGAGCAGUUAGGUGUAAACUUUAUACUCCAUGAGUAUAUCGAAGACACCAGUUUAAUAUGAGCGAGAAACAAGCGUUAGGAGACACUAAACUUCACGAGGAUCAAACUAAAGCGGACUUGGAGAACAAUGUCAAGCUGGAGGCGGGUGACGCGGCGCAGCGCGCCGACUAUCAGGGUGAGCAGGACGGUCACGAAGCGCCGCAACCUACCCGCCUGUACAAACGCCGCUGGAUGAUUGUCCUCCUGUUCAGCUCUUAUUCACUGUGCAACUCCUUCCAAUGGAUACAAUACGGGAUCAUCAACAACAUUUUCAUGAAGUUCUACAACGUGGACACCUUCACCAUAGACUGGAUGUCUAUGAUCUACAUGCUGACAUACAUUCCCUUCAUCUUCCCUGUGACCUGGCUGCUGGACAAGAAGGGGCUCCGGGUCAUCGCGCUGGUAGCCACUGCGCUUAACUGCGCCGGGACAUGGAUCAAAGUGGCCAGCGUCAGACCCAACCUGUUCGCCGUCACCUUUCUGGGGCAGUUCUCCUGCUCGUUGGCGCAGGUGUUCAUCCUCGGGAUGCCGUCGAGAAUCGCGUCGGUGUGGUUCGGUUCAGAGGAAGUGUCCACGGCCUGCUCCAUCGGAGUCUUCGGGAAUCAGCUGGGCAUCGCCAUUGGCUUCCUGGUGCCUCCCAUCCUGGUGCCUAAUGUGGACGACAUGGAUGAGCUGGCUCACCACAUCAGCGUCAUGUUCUACAUCACAGCAGGAGUGGCUACCUUACUCUUUAUCCUUGUUGUCUUUGUCUUCCAGGAGCGUCCUAAGCUUCCUCCGACUCAGGCCCAGGCCACAGCUCGCAGCAUCCCACCAGAGCAGUACUCGUACACCGCCUCCAUCCGCAGGCUGCUCCGCAACAGGCCCUUCAUCCUCCUCAUCGUCACUUACGGUCUGAACGUAGGUUGUUUCUAUGCUGUUGGCACCCUGCUGAACCGCAUGAUCAUCGACCAUUACCCUGGAGAAGAGGUGAAUGCUGGGAGGAUCGGCCUUACCAUCGUCAUAGCGGGCAUGGUCGGCUCCCUGAUCUGUGGCGUCUGGUUGGACAGAACUAAAACUUACAAGCAGACUACCCUCGCGGUCUACUUCAUGUCUCUGGUGGGGAUGAUCGUCUAUGCUGCUACACUCAGUUUGGGACACCUCUGGGUGGUCUUCAUCACCGCCGGAGCUCUCGGGUUCUUCAUGACGGGCUACCUGCCGCUUGGCUUUGAGUUUGCAGUCGAGCUGACGUACCCGGAGUCAGAGGGAACCUCCUCCGGACUCCUCAACUGUUCAGCACAAGUGUUUGGCAUUAUAUUCACCAUCUGCCAGGGGAAGAUCAUCGAUAACUUUGGCACGCUGGCAGGAAACAUCUUCCUCUGCGUCUUUCUUCUAAUUGGCACAAUAAUGACAGGCUUAAUCAAGUCUGAUCUGCGGAGACAAAAUGCGAACCUGUUGGCCAAAGCAGCAGCGGAGAGGCAGAUGUUGGGACAAGACUACGGAGCCACAGCGCUAAUCUCCGAGCCGCAGACUCCUCCUUCUCAAGCCUGAUCAAUAAACCUUUCUGCUUCCACAAAAAAAAAAAAAAAAAUCUCAAAUCUUAGCUCAACACACAGAUGCACAAAGGGACCUUCUGACUGCCACGAUGUGAACCUGGCUGCAGCUUCUUUCGUCAAAGAAGCCCAGCUUUAGACACACACACUAACAAAAAAAAAAAAGCCUAGAAAGUGACAAUGAUCUCCUUCCUGUUGCAG